GCUUGUCUCAAAGAUUAAGCCAUGCAUGUCUAAGUAUAAACGACUUUAUACAGUGAAACUGCGAAUGGCUCAUUAAAUCAGUUAUAGUUUAUUUGAUAAUACCUUACUACUUGGAUAACCGUGGUAAUUCUAGAGCUAAUACAUGCUACACAACCCGACUUCUGGAAGGGUGGUACUGAUUAGAUCAAAACCAAACGGCUUCGGCCGUCUCAUUGGUGACUCUGAAUAACUUUGGGCUGAUCGUAUGGCCUUGUGCCGACGACGUUUCCUUCGAAGGUGUGCCCUAUCAACUGUCGACUGUGAUAUAGACGCUCACAGUGGUUUUGACGGGUAACGGGGAAUCAGGGUUCGAUUCCGGAGAGGGAGCCUUAAAAACGGCUACCACAUCCAAGGAAGGCAGCAGG
rnacentral:rRNA from 1 species